rnacentral:tRNA from 2 species
GGAGGGUUGGCUGAGCGGUCCAAAGCGAUGGGUUGCUAACCCAUUGAGCCCACAAAGGCUCGCACAGGUUCAAAUCCUGUACCCUCCG